GGAAACUUUUCUUAAAAAUGAUUUCUUAAUGUUUCUGUAGGAUACAGUCAUUUACUUUCCUUAACGUUGUACAGAAAAAAAGAAACAUAUCUACAUAUUAGUCAACAACUUAAAGGUAGUCAAUGCAGUAUAAUCCAUACUGUACCAACUAAUAUGAUCAAAAGCUAUUUAAAGAAAAUGUGCCUAAUCAUUAAUAGUAACAUAAAAAGAAUAGCACUGAAAACAACUUUUAAUCUGAGAUGUUGUCAGCACUUAGAACAAAUAACCUGGGGGGAGGAGCCAAUAUGGCCGAAUAGGAACAGCUCCGGUCUACAGCUCCCAGCCUGAGUGACGCAGAAGCCAGGUGAUUUCUGCAUUUCCAUCUGAGGCUGGAAGGAUGACCUCGGAAGUCACAUGCUGAAGAUGGAAGACAUGUUGUAGUGCUGCAUUGACCUGGGGCUCAGACAUCUCAGACUCUUGUAGAAAAAAAAAAAAAAAAAAAACAAGACACAACUUUAUUGGGUUUGGUCUUACUUAUUAUACAUAUAUGCAUUACUACAUUAAUAUAUCUUGUUCCAGCAGCUUAGUUUUUACUUUUAGCCUCUAGAGGAUUUAGUGAUUUAAGUAGCCAUGAAGGGUAAAGAACACCAGGGAUUUCACAAUGACUAAAUUUAACAGCACAGAUGGCAGGGUUGAUAGUGUGCCAUUAUUUGAGUUAAAGAAAAAGCAAAAGAAAUUGCAGCUCUGGGGAGAUGAUAAUAAACUCACAUUUUGAAGGAUGAAGUUUAUGUUACUUGUGGGAUAUCCUGUUGGAGAUAUUCAGUAGGUUUUUAGACAGUCCUGGAUCUGAGAAAAAUAUGAAAGGUUUAUAGAAGCCAGAUGCGGCAGGGAAUACAUAGGGAGAGGUUGUGCAGCUAGAAGAGAAGGCAGUCAAUUACAAGACCCCCAGAAACCAAAAGCAAUAAAUAAAUAAAUAAGGAAGACUGUCAUAAAAACAAUGUUGAAUGAUGAAACAAAAAACAAAAAAUAGGUGCUAAAAAACACACCCAUUCACACAGUGUGAUAUUAUUUAAAGAAAAGUUAAAAUAUACCAAAAUAUGACAUGACACAUUAUGUACAGGUACAUACUAUGUAGCAAAAGAAUAUUUAAAAUGCAUGUGAUUGUAAACAUGCAAGUUUGGAUAAUGGUUACACUUUCAUUUGGGCAUGAAGGAACAUACAAUCUGGGAGGAACACAUAGGGAACUUGAAAUUUGUUGAUAGUGUUUUAUUUAUUAAAAUGGAAGCAGGUACAGAAGUGCUCACUUUUUACAUAGUUCACAUGAUUUGAUAACAAAAUUUAAACCUAAAAUGCAGAAAAGAAAGAGAGUUUUACAAAGUAGGAUGCAGUUAACAAUAACAAAGGAAGAUGAGAAAUAGAAAAUGACAAUUGAAUUUGACAGCCAGUAGUUAAUUAAUGACAUUUAGAAGAGGAAUUUUAGUAAGUACAGGGGAACUGAGUUAGAUUUUUAAAAAAUGGAAUGUGUAAAAUUCCACAUUUACAUUCUAAACAUUACACUAUUUUUGUUGUGCUAUUCACUCUAGGAAAUUGCCUUAUAAUGAGGAGAAAUAAAUAAAUUUUACAUUCUGUAGUAAUUAGAGGAAAAGAUACUAAUGAGAUGAUAACUGCUCUAAUUCAUCUAAUAAAAUAUUUUUGAUUGGGUUAGUUUAUUAUAGGAAUCAGCUAUAAAAUAUUAAUCAUUUCUCACUAGUAUAUUAGAAAUAACUCUUAAAUCUGUUAAAGGUACAUAAAUUCUAGUGGGCACCUGAAUGUAAAAUAAUGAAAAGUAAAAAGACUCUGAAGAGAAAUUUUUUUUUAAAUUUAGGAAGCCAGUAAACCAUUUUCAAAAGAGUAUUUGUUAUGUUCUAAUAUUUGCGUCUCCCCGAAUUCAUAUGUUGAAACUCUAACCCGUAAGGCGAUGGCAUUAGGAGCCUUUGGGAAGUUAUUAGGUCAUGAGGGUUCCUCUUGCAUGAAUAGGAUUCCUGCCCUUAUAAAAAUGGCCCAAGAGAGCUCGCUGGCCCUUUCAGCCACAUAAGGACACAGUGAAAAAACGUUUAUAAACCAGGAAGUGGGCCCUCACCAGACACUGAACCUGUUGGCACUUUGAUUUAGAACUUCCCAGUCUCCAGAGCUGUGAGAAAUAAAUGUUGGUUGUUUAUAAGCCACACAGCCCAUGGUAAUUUGUUAUAGCAGCCUGAACAGGCUAAGACAGUUAUGUAAAUAUUACUCUUCCAAAAUAUUUUUCUUUUUUUUUUUUUUUUUUUUUGAGAUGGAGUUUCACUCUUGUUGCCCAGGUUGGAGUGCAAUGGCACGAUCUUGGCUCAUCACAACCUCCACCUCCUGGGUCCAAGCGAUUCUCCUG
rnacentral:lncRNA from 1 species